CCAAAAUGUUAGAAUGCUUUCUAGAAAUGAACGGAUCAGAGUUAAAGUUCACCUAAUAUUUUUCGGUGAAUUUUCUGAUUCGACGAAAAUUUUUAUAAAGUUUUCAUACAAAAGCGUGCGUCCGUUAAUGUAGGUAUAAAUAAAUAAUGUGAAAAUUUUCAACAUUUUACUGCAAGUUCACUCUUUGAAUCUGGUCGACAAACAGAAAAGGGAAAUAUGUGGAUAUUUAAUAUAUUUAAAUGAUAAUUGACGUAAUAUUUGCUGGAUAAACCCAAGUGCUAUUGAACAGUAGCAGGUGAGCAUCUGUGUAGCCAAAGAGAUAGAUGCGAAUAGGUUUAACAUGGCGAAAUAACUCCUCAAACGUCGCGAGGGCAGGAUGGCCGAGUGGACAACGGUGUCGAAAUCUCACUCUUCCCGGUGCAGCGGCGAAGGUUACGGGAUCAAAGCUCAGGUAGGACGAAGCGGACUUCUCCAUCAGGAUACCAGAGGGAGCGCGAAGCGCGUCAACAACGUGAAGGAAAGUAACUCCGCAGUACCAACGCUGAUGCGCUUCAACGAAUAUGGACACUAAUUAAGCGGGAAUCCCAUUCUCGAGGCAGCGACGCGGGUCGAUAGCUCGGACUCCGUCAUAAUCAAUCUUCACCCUGCACUAGACGGGGUUUUUUUAGUUUUAAGUCAUUCCAAAAUCGGGAGGGAAUAAGUCGGGAAUUGAGUUAAGUUACCUCUUGAAUAUCGUGAUUUAUUCCUGAGUCUUGCAUACGUAUUCCCUCCAUCGGUAUUAACUAGCUCGGAAGAAUGCUAGCUGACCAAGCUGGCAUCAGUGCUAGUUAUGUUGGAACAGUCGUAAUUUAGCUCGCUCUCCGAGUUAUCUAGGAUUUGCAAGACCUCACUCGGAAGCCGUUACCACUGAGUCAGUGCUAAUUUCGGAGUGAAAUCCUAAUAUAAGUCGGACUCUGAGCUAGUUUUUUCUAACAGUGCAUUAAUAGUUUCUAUUUUACUCGCUAAAAUCUGUAAAUUUAAGACAAAAAUUACCAUCCAAAUUUCAUAGUUUUUCACGAUUUCCGCAAUUUUAUUGCAAAGGAUGAAGUUGCACAAUCUUAGCAUCAUUGCAAUGCUAGUGGUUCUUUUUGCAAAAUGCAAUCCAAAUGUUCCUUUCCCUUCUUUUUUUUCUGUCAAAUAUUCAUACUAUUAAUUGGUCGCGGGACAAACGACACUCGUUCACUUUCACUGUGAAUAUACACUUUCCUUAAGAGCGCGAUAUAUAUUUUCGAAAGAACGGCGGGAC
rnacentral:lncRNA from 1 species